UACGUAGGGUGCAAGCGUUGUCCGGAAUUAUUGGGCGUAAAGAGCGUGUAGGCGGCCAGGUAGGUCUGCUGUGAAAACUCGGGGCUCAACUCCGAGCUUGCAUUCGAUACGGGCAGGCUAGAGUUCGGUAGGGGAGACUGGAAUUCCUGGUGUAGCGGUGAAAUGCGCAGAUAUCAGGAGGAACACCGGUGGCGAAGGCGGGUCUCUGGGCCGAUACUGACGCUGAGGAGCGAAAGCGUGGGGAGCGAACAGG
rnacentral:rRNA from 1 species